rfam:Otolemur garnettii contig031721, whole genome shotgun sequence.
AAGACUUUACUUUGAGGGAUCAUUUCUAUAGUUUGUUACUAGAGAGAUUUCUCUGAAUAUAUAGAGCACCAGCAAUAACCAGGAGCAGGCGACACAGUGUUCCCUCCUGAGCGUGACGUCGGCUCUCGGUGCUGCUUUGCAGUCAGUGCCACCUGCCCCGAUAGUGGCUCUUUUCUCCCUUUGCCAGAGUCAGGGGGUGGGGACACAGUCUGAGUGGU